rnacentral:lncRNA from 1 species
CGGACAAAAUGUUUGUAACGUUUUGUUGUAUUUGUAUUAUACGUAGUGUAUUCCCUGUAUGUUGGACACGUGGCGAAGGUGUGUUUUGCUGGUGGGAGGUGUGGAGGGGAGCGCCUACAGAUGUGCGCUGGCCUUUGAAUCUUGGUCCUGUUUGUUUGUGUUGUGUCGGUUGGUUCCCAGCUCUUAUGUGGCUGAGGGGGAUGCCAAGAGCGUUGGGGGCGUUUCUGAUUGGGGUCUUUUGACUGCUGGAGGGCUUCUGAGUGUAUUAACAAUACAAGUAUCCACAAAUAUUAAGCAAUAAUAAAGCAGUCGCU